rnacentral:snRNA from 1 species
UUGCUUGUUUCAGCAGCACCUAUACUAAAAUUGGAACGAUACAGAGAAGAUUAGCAUGGCCCCUGCCCAAGGAUGACACACAAAUUUGUGAAGUGUUCCAUAUUAAA